rnacentral:rRNA from 1 species
UACGUAGGGAGCGAGCGUUGUCCGGAAUUACUGGGCGUAAAGGGCGUGUAGGCGGGAAUUUAAGUAAGGUGUGAAAACUCCGGGCUCAACCUGGAGACUGCACUUUAAACUGGAUUUCUUGAGGGCAGGAGAGGAAAGUGGAAUUCCUAGUGUAGCGGUGAAAUGCGUAGAUAUUAGGAGGAACACCAGUGGCGAAGGCGACUUUCUGGACUGUACCUGACGCUGAGGCGCGAAAGCGUGGGUAG